CCUACGGGAGGCAGCAGUGGGGAAUAUUGGGCAAUGGGCGCAAGCCUGACCCAGCAACGCCGCGUGAAGGAAGAAGGCUUUCGGGUUGUAAACUUCUUUUAAGAGGGAAGAGCAGAAGACGGUACCUCUUGAAUAAGCCACGGCUAACUACGUGCCAGCAGCCGCGGUAAUACGUAGGUGGCAAGCGUUGUCCGGAUUUACUGGGUGUAAAGGGCGUGCAGCCGGGAAGACAAGUCAGAUGUGAAAUCCCGGGGCUCAACCGCGGAACUGCAUUUGAAACUGUUUUUCUUGAGUACCGGAGAGGUCAUCGGAAUUCCUUGUGUAGCGGUGAAAUGCGUAGAUAUAAGGAAGAACACCAGUGGCGAAGGCGGAUGACUGGACGGCAACUGACGGUGAGGCGCGAAAGCGUGGGGAGCAAACGGGAUUAGAUACCCUUGUAGUC
rnacentral:rRNA from 1 species